CGAAGCGCGGCCGGCCCGGCCGGUUCGGGGGUGGGGGGGGGGUGCUGGGCCGCGCUCCGCCGCGCUCCUCGGGCGCCCCUCCUUUAGGGCCGUCGUUUACGGGACCGUCAGAUGGUCGGUUUGCUCAGAAAACCGUCCGUUCUGGCCGCGAGCAGGUGAGGUCGUUUGUGGAUAAGAUCGGGAUUAGGUGAGGUCGUCCGUGCGCUUCCUCCCGUGGUGGUGCCGUGUCACCACCCGGCCGCGCUCCGGGCGGGCUGAAAGCACGGCGGUGGUUCGCCUCAGGGCGCGGUGGCCCCGCGGCCGUCCCACCACAGUACGGGGCUGCGGGCACACGCGGUCAGCGGCGGCAGCGGCGCUCACUGCGUGUCAGAGCUCCCCAGGAGGUCGUUGUUUUUCCUUUCAGAGCCCUGAAAGAUACGGGGAGAGAAACCUGCGAGGAGAGUUUGCAGGAGUGCUGUGAGUGGUGCACGGAACGCCGCGCAGGAGAACGCUUUCCUCCUUCCCAAACGUGCCUUGGGAAAAGUAAUUUCUCAAGUAGUUGGUAAUUGCUGCCAGAAAGACCUACAAAUCUCCCACGGUUCACUGACAAAAAUUGGUAAAGUGAUGUAGCUUCCUGUAAAUGAAGAGCUCUCAUGCCUCACAUGAGGGAGUGGAAUAAAUAAUGGAUGCUUCACGUUACGUGUGCCCACUGCAGUGUGGCAUCUUGCACCGCUUCUAGAAUAACGCACACCUAAACUGUGCUGUUACCAGUCCCUGGCAUUGCUUUGUUGAAAGGGUUUUGGUGAACAAUUUGCAAGCUCCUACGAAAAGAAUAGGAUCUUCUGCUUUUAAAUGAUAAAACCCAUUGUGUGAGACCCUGAGGACUGAAUUCUCAACCUUGUGUGAUCCGUGAUGGAGGGUAUCCUAUUGAUUAGGGACAGUAUGCAAGCCAUAGAGGUGGUGCAGCCAAAGUAGACAUACCUGCACAGGGUUUGGCAGCACGAGAUCAGCUGUCUGGGCAGCCCUGGGUGUCCGCUGAAGGAGUGCGUGUGAAAUUUCCACUGUGAUACCAGCUGAUGUAGGCACACCUGUUCAUGUCACAGUCCUUGCUUCCAGAUCACAACUGGAGAAAGCUUUGGAAAGAGUAAUUCCCAAUAAGAGGAACUCACACACAUUGUGUUCCAGAUCUAACUGUGCCAGUUGAAGAUUUUGCCACUUUCCAUCUUCGAUGCUGUGAUUGUGGCUGCCAUAGCUCUGCUAAUUAACGGG
ensembl:lncRNA